rnacentral:rRNA from 1 species
GUGGGGAAUCUUCCACAAUGGACGAAAGUCUGAUGGAGCAACGCCGCGUGAGUGAAGAAGGGUUUCGGCUCGUAAAGCUCUGUUGUCGGGGACGAAUGUGCAGUAUUUGAAUAAAGUAGUGCAAUGACGGUACCUGACGAGGAAGCCACGGCUAACUACGUGCCAGCAGCCGCGGUAAUACGUAGGUGGCAAGCGUUGUCCGGAAUUAUUGGGCGUACAGGGAGCGCAGGCGGGAAGGUAAGUCGGUCGUAAAAGUGCGGGGCUCAACCCCGUGAUGGGAUCGAAACUAUCUUUCUUGAGUGCAGGAGAGGAAAGUGGAAUUCCUAGUGUAGCGGUGAAAUGCGUAGAUAUUAGGAGGAACACCAGUGGCGAAGGCGACUUUCUGGACUGUAACUGACGCUGAGGCUCGAAAGCCAGGGGAGCGAACGGGAUUAGAAACCCUGGUAGUCC